rnacentral:lncRNA from 1 species
UAGGGACUACGGAAUCUCCCAACAGCUCGCACAAAUAAAUUGGGCUGGAAAAUUGGCGACGACUUGAUUGAGAGCGCGUGCAUAGCCCCGCAGGAAGAUUUGAAUGGUGGUGUAAAAUAUAAGGGGUUGGAGGAAUAUGGCCCUGAUUCCCCUGCUGUCGGAGAGAGGCCUAAUGGAGAUGUCUGGGACUUGGCCUACUACUAAACCAACAUGAGCCCUCCCUUUCGCCCUCGGCCUCUCUGUCUCUGGUGGAGGCUCUGGCUCGGAUAAGGUGUCAACUGCAUAGAACACAACUACUAGUUAAUAUGGUGAGUUAUACAAAUUAUGAAAUGGCACAGCCACUCUGA